ACCAUGCAAGUCGAGGGGUAUAGUUCUUCGGAAUUAGAGACCGGCGCACGGGUGCGUAACGCGUAUGCAAUCUACCUUUUACAGAGGGAUAGCCCAGAGAAAUUUGGAUUAAUACCUCAUAGUAUAGCAGUUUCGCAUGAAACCACUAUUAAAGUCACAACGGUAAAAGAUGAGCAUGCGUCCCAUUAGCUAGUUGGUAAGGUAACGGCUUACCAAGGCUACGAUGGGUAGGGGUCCUGAGAGGGAGAUCCCCCACACUGGUACUGAGACACGGACCAGACUCCUACGGGAGGCAGCAGUGAGGAAUAUUGGACAAUGGGCGCAAGCCUGAUCCAGCCAUGCCGCGUGCAGGAUGACGGUCCUAUGGAUUGUAAACUGCUUUUAUACAGGAAGAAACCCUGGUUCGUGAACCAGCUUGACGGUACUGUAAGAAUAAGGAUCGGCUAACUCCGUGCCAGCAGCCGCGGUAAUACGGAGGAUCCAAGCGUUAUCCGGAAUCAUUGGGUUUAAAGGGUCCGUAGGCGGUUUAAUAAGUCAGUGGUGAAAGCCCAUCGCUCAACGGUGGAACGGCCAUUGAUACUGUUAAACUUGAAUUAUUAGGAAGUAACUAGAAUAUGUAGUGUAGCGGUGAAAUGCUUAGAGAUUACAUGGAAUACCAAUUGCGAAGGCAGGUUACUACUAAUGUAUUUGACGCUGAUGGACGAAAGCGUGGGUAGCGAAACAGGGAUUAGAUACCCUGGUAGUCCACGCCGUAAACGAUGGAUACUAGCUGUUGG
rnacentral:rRNA from 1 species